AUACAUGCAAGUCGAGCGAACGGAUAAGGAGCUUGCUCCUUUGAAGUUAGCGGCGGACGGGUGAGUAACACGUGGGUAACCUACCUAUAAGACUGGGAUAACUUCGGGAAACCGGAGCUAAUACCGGAUAACAUUUAGAACCGCAUGGUUCUAAAGUGAAAGAUGGUUUUGCUAUCACUUAUAGAUGGACCCGCGCCGUAUUAGCUAGUUGGUAAGGUAACGGCUUACCAAGGCGACGAUACGUAGCCGACCUGAGAGGGUGAUCGGCCACACUGGAACUGAGACACGGUCCAGACUCCUACGGGAGGCAGCAGUAGGGAAUCUUCCGCAAUGGGCGAAAGCCUGACGGAGCAACGCCGCGUGAGUGAUGAAGGGUUUCGGCUCGUAAAACUCUGUUAUUAGGGAAGAACAAAUGUGUAAGUAACUGUGCACAUCUUGACGGUACCUAAUCAGAAAGCCACGGCUAACUACGUGCCAGCAGCCGCGGUAAUACGUAGGUGGCAAGCGUUAUCCGGAAUUAUUGGGCGUAAAGCGCGCGUAGGCGGUUUCUUAAGUCUGAUGUGAAAGCCCACGGCUCAACCGUGGAGGGUCAUUGGAAACUGGGAAACUUGAGUGCAGAAGAGGAAAGUGGAAUUCCAUGUGUAGCGGUGAAAUGCGCAGAGAUAUGGAGGAACACCAGUGGCGAAGGCGACUUUCUGGUCUGUAACUGACGCUGAUGUGCGAAAGCGUGGGGAUCAAACAGGAUUAGAUACCCUGGUAGUCCACGCCGUAAACGAUGAGUGCUAAGUGUUAGGGGGUUUCCGCCCCUUAGUGCUGCAGCUAACGCAUUAAGCACUCCGCCUGGGGAGUACGACCGCAAGGUUGAAACUCAAAGGAAUUGACGGGGACCCGCACAAGCGGUGGAGCAUGUGGUUUAAUUCGAAGCAACGCGAAGAACCUUACCAAAUCUUGACAUCCUUUGAAAACUCUAGAGAUAGAGCCUUCCCCUUCGGGGGACAAAGUGACAGGUGGUGCA
rnacentral:rRNA from 1 species